rnacentral:rRNA from 1 species
GAUGAACGCUGGCGGCGUGCCUAAUACAUGCAAGUCGAGCGAACGGACGAGGAGCUUGCUUCUCUGAUGUUAGCGGCGGACGGGUGAGUAACACGUGGAUAACCUACCUAUAAGACUGGGAUAACUUCGGGAAACCGGAGCUAAUACCGGAUAAUAUAUUGAACCGCAUGGUUCAAUAGUGAAAGACGGUUUUGCUGUCACUUAUAGAUGGAUCCGCGCUGCAUUAGCUAGUUGGUAAGGUAACGGCUUACCAAGGCAACGAUGCGUAGCCGACCUGAGAGGGUGAUCGGCCACACUGGAACUGAGACACGGUCCAGACUCCUACGGGAGGCAGCAGUAGGGAAUCUUCCGCAAUGGGCGAAAGCCUGACGGAGCAACGCCGCGUGAGUGAUGAAGGUCUUCGGAUCGUAAAACUCUGUUAUUAGGGAAGAACAUAUGUGUAAGUAACUGUGCACAUCUUGACGGUACCUAAUCAGAAAGCCACGGCUAACUACGUG